rnacentral:rRNA from 1 species
GAGAGUAGCUUGCUACUCUGCUGACGAGCGGCGGACGGGUGAGUAAUGCUUGGGAAUAUGCCUUAUGGUGGGGGACAACAGUUGGAAACGACUGCUAAUACCGCAUGAUGUCUACGGACCAAAGUGGGGGACCUUCGGGCCUCACGCCAUAAGAUUAGCCCAAGUGGGAUUAGCUAGUUGGUGAGGUAAUGGCUCACCAAGGCGACGAUCCCUAGCUGGUUUGAGAGGAUGAUCAGCCACACUGGGACUGAGACACGGCCCAGACUCCUACGGGAGGCAGCAGUGGGGAAUAUUGCACAAUGGGCGCAAGCCUGAUGCAGCCAUGCCGCGUGUGUGAAGAAGGCCUUCGGGUUGUAAAGCACUUUCAGUAAGGAGGAAAGGUUAAGUGUUAAUAGCACUUAGCUGUGACGUUACUUACAGAAGAAGCACCGGCUAACUCCGUGCCAGCAGCCGCGGUAAUACGGAGGGUGCGAGCGUUAAUCGGAAUUACUGGGCGUAAAGCGUACGCAGGCGGUUUGUUAAGCGAGAUGUGAAAGCCCCGGGCUCAACCUGGGAACUGCAUUUCGAACUGGCAAACUAGAGUGUGAUAGAGGGUGGUAGAAUUUCAGGUGUAGCGGUGAAAUGCGUAUAGAUCUGAGGGAAUACCGAUGGCGAAUGCAGCCACCUGGGUCAACACUGACGCUCAUGUACGAAAGCGUGGGG